rnacentral:lncRNA from 1 species
AUGGGCCCAUCCAGAGAGCCCUUUAGAAGCCGGAGCUCUCGCUUCUUUAAGAAGGGUUUCCAGAUGAUGCCUCAGGUAAAUGUGAAUAGUUUUCACACAAAGGAGGAAAACUUUAAAAAUAAAAGAACUCACCAGGCCUCAAUUUUUUUUUUUCGGUGGCCCUCUUCUGCAUUUCGGUGGCCCUCUUCUGCACUUCUGCAUUUUUUAAAUGCAAUAGAUCUGGAACCACCCUAUGCCAGUUAGUGCUGCUUAGGAGUUGAAGGCUAUAAGUAUCUGAAAGCCACAUGGUUUUCAUCUGCAAAUUAGAUCGGAGUCUAUGCACAUAGGAAGCAAAAAUAAUAAAUGAAAAUGAAAUAAAACUGAAAUCUAAAACGAUUGGAAGGAUUUACUAGAAAAAUAUCUUUAAAGAAGUAGUAGCAAUAAUGUACACACAAAGAAAAACUAAAUGUAAAGAAAAAACUGAAAUAAAUGGAACAGGAAUUUAAUUUAAAAUAAAGUACUUUUCUACUUAUUCAUAAUUCUUGAUGAUAAAGAUGGGGGUUAAUGAAGGUGCAUAUAAGAAAUGGAAAAGUAAAAGAAUAUGAAACAACAAAUGAUAAAAAGAUUGCACACGGCAGGCUGAUAGCUAGGAUAUAAAUUGGUUUUAAGCAAAGGAUAAAGAAAAUAUUCUAAUUGAAUUAGUACCUGGAAAAGUGAAAAAAUUAAAUAUUAAAGUCAAUUAAAGCAAGCAACAUCCACACUAGAUGCCCCAUACAAACAUACACACAUUGAACAUAGCUACAAGGAAUAAUGAAGAUCCAGAAUCAGGAGACAGAAUGCCACUGGCAGAGCACAGCGUCCAGAAAGCAUCUGGUCAAAAGUAGCCUAAACUUAAAAGGUGGACCCACCAAUCACUCACCUGCAUUCUCAUCUAGCACCCAACAUUUUUAGGAAAUAAAAUUAUAACAGGCGGUUUUCUAUAUAUGCUGGCAUGAAGCUAAAAGACAACAGAAGCUACACCUGUGAUCGUACUUCUAGGUACUUUAGAGAGAAGUCUGCUUCAUGCCAGGCAUCAUCAGAGUUCAUCCUUAGCAUUCCAGCUUUACUUGAGAUUUGAUCCAUCUGAUUCACAUCUCUAAUCAUGACUUUUAAAAUCUGCCAGUAGAUUGGAUUGAAAGAGGAUAUGCUACAUAAUUUAAAUAUAUGAAGGGUUGUCAUAUAGAGUGAGCUUAUUUACUUUUUUUCUCCUCCAGAGGGACUCGACCAAUGGAUUCAUUGGUUGAGAUGUUGACAAGCUGGAAUGUG